rnacentral:rRNA from 1 species
UACGGAGGGUGCAAGCGUUGUUCGGAAUUACUGGGCGUAAAGAGCACGUAGGCGGGCUCGUAAGUCGAUUGUGAAAUCCCCGGGCUCAAUCCGGGAAUUGCAGUCGAAACUACGAGUCUUGAAUGCCCAAGAGGGUGACGGAAUUCCUGGUGUAGAAGUGAAAUUCGUAGAUAUCAGGAGGAACACCGGAGGCGAAGGCGGUUGCCUGGUGGUGCAUUGACGCUGAGGUGCGAAAGCGUGGGGAGCAAACAGG